rnacentral:rRNA from 1 species
CAAUAGCGUAUAUUAAAGUUGUUGCGGUUAAAAAGCUCGUAGUUGGAGUUCUGCCAGGUGACACUCGUCCGCCCAAGUGGUGUGUACAGGGUGUGCAUCUGGCCCUUUCAAGGGGAACGUGUCUGCACUUCAUUGUGUGGUGCGAGAUCCUUGACUUUUACUUUGAGGAAAUAAGAGUGUUCCAAGCAGGCUCUCGUCGUGCAUAGCUCAGCAUGGAAUAAUAGCAUUGGACUUCGUUUCUACGCUGUUGGUUGCAAGAAGCGAGGUAAUGAUGAAGAGGGAUAGUUGGGGGCAUUCGUAUUUAACUGUCAGAGGUGAAAUUUUUGGAUUUGUUAAAGACGGACUACUGCGAAAGCAUCUGCCAUGGAUGUUUUCAUUGA